AGAGUUCUCUUUUCUUUGUGAAGGGCAGGGCGCCCUGGAAUGGGUUCGCCCCGAGAUAGGGGCCCGCGCCCUGGAAAGCGUCGCGGUUCUGGCGGCGUCCGGUGAACUCUCGCUGGCCCUUGAAAAUCCGGGGGAGAGGGUGUAAGUCUCGUACCAGGCCGUACCCAUAUCCGCAGCAGGUCUCCAAGGUGAACAGCCUCUGGCGUGUUGGAUCAA
rnacentral:rRNA from 1 species